CUGGAGGUAUCAGAAGUGCGAAUGCUGACAUAAGUAACGAUAAAGCGGGUGAAAAGCCCGCUCGCCGGAAGACCAAGGGUUCCUGUCCAACGUUAAUCGGGGCAGGGUGAGUCGACCCCUAAGGCGAGGCCGAAAGGCGUAGUCGAUGGGAAACGGGUUAAUAUUCCCGUACUUGGUGUUACUGCGAAGGGGGGACGGAGAAGGCUAUGUUGGCCGGGCGACGGUUGUCCCGGUUUAAGCGUGUAGGUGUGUGUUCCAGGUAAAUCCGGUUCACUUUAACACUGAGGCGUGACGACGAGGCACUACGGUGCUGAAGCAACAAAUGCCCUGCUUCCAGGAAAAGCCUCUAAGCAUCAGGUAACAUCAAAUCGUACCCCAAACCGACACAGGUGGUCAGGUAGAGAAUACCAAGGCGCUUGAGAGAACUCGGGUGAAGGAACUAGGCAAAAUGGUGCCGUAACUUCGGGAGAAGGCACGCUGACAUGUAGGUGAAGUGAUUUACUCAUGGAGCUGAAGUCAGU
rnacentral:rRNA from 1 species